rnacentral:misc_RNA from 1 species
AAGGAGUCUAACAUAUGUGCGAGUAUUUGGGUGGUAAACCCACAUGCGUAAUGAAAGUGACAGAUGGGAACCCCGGAGCAACAUCGAACGGUCAUGAAAUUUUAUUGGAUAGAUCUGAGUCAGAGCACAUAUGUUAGGACCCGAAAGAUGGUGAACUAUGCCUGUAUAGGUUGAAGUCAGAGGAAACUCUGGUGGAGGCUCGUAGCGAUUCUGACGUGCAAAUCGAUCGUAAAAUUUGGGUAUAGGGGCGAAAGACUAAUCGAACCAUCUAGUAGCUGGUUCCCUC